UACGUAGGGGGCAAGCGUUGUCCGGAUUUAUUGGGCGUAAAGAGCGUGUAGGCGGUCAGGUAGGUCCGUUGUGAAAACUCGAGGCUCAACCUCGAGACGCCGAUGGAAACCAUCGUCGACUAGAGUCCGGAAGAGGAGAGUCGGAAUUCCUGGUGUAGCGGUGAAAUGCGCAGAUAUCAGGAAGAACACCCGUGGCUAAGGCGGCUCUCUAGUACGGUACUGACGCUGAGCACGCGAAAGCGUGGGGAGCGAACAGG
rnacentral:rRNA from 1 species